rnacentral:rRNA from 1 species
UUUCCGGUUGAUCCCGCCGCCGGCCACCGCUAUCAAGUUCCGACUAAGCCAUGCGAGUCAAGGUAUCGUAAGAUGCCGGCAAACUGCUCAGUAACACGUGGAUAAUCUAACCUUGAGUAAGGGAUAACCUCGGGAAACUGAGGAUAAUACCUUAUAAUUGCUUAAAACUGGAAUGUUUAAGCAAUAAAAGUUCCGACGCUCAAGGAUGAGUCUGCGACCUAUCAGGUAGUAGGUGGUGUAAUGGACCACCUAGCCUCAGACGGGUACGGGCCCUGGGAGGGGUAGCCCGGAGAUGGACUCUGAGACAUCAGUCCAGGCCCUACGGGGCGCAGCAGGCGCGAACACUGUGCAAUGCGCGAAAGCGCGACACGGGGAGCUUGAGUGUCUUGGCAUAGCCAAGACUUUUCUCAUUCCUAAAAAGCAUGAGGAAUAAGUGCUGGGUAAGACGGGUGCCAGCCGCCGCGGUAACACCCGCAGCACAAGUGGUGGUCACUUUUAUUGAGCCUAAAGCGUUCGUAGCCGGUUUUGUAAAUCUUUAGAUAAAGCCUGAAGCUUAACUCCAGAAAGUCUGAAGAGACUGCAAGACUUGAGAUCGGGUGAGGUUAAACGUACUUUCAGGGUAGGGGUAAAAUCCUGUAAUCCCGGAAGGACGACCAGUGGCGAAAGCGUUUAACUAGAACGAAUCUGACGGUAAGGAACGAAGGCUAGGGUAGCAAACCGGAUUAGAUACCCGGGUAGUCCUAGCUGUAAACACUGCCCAUUUGAUGUUGCUUUUCCGUUGAGGGAAGGCAGUGUCGGAGCGAAGGUGUUAAAUGGGCCGCUUGGGAAGUAUGGUCGCAAGACUGAAACUUAAAGGAAUUGGCGGGGGAGCACCGCAACGGGAGGAAUGUGCGGUUUAAUUGGAUUCACCGCCGGG